CAGUGAUAAACUGGAGGAAGGUGGGGAUGACGUCAAGUCAUCAUGGCCCUUACGACCAGGGCUACACACGUGCUACAAUGGCAUAUACAAAGAGAAGCGACCUCGCGAGAGCAAGCGGACCUCAUAAAGUAUGUCGUAGUCCGGAUUGGAGUCUGCAACUCGACUCCAUGAAGUCGGAAUCGCUAGUAAUCGUAGAUCAGAAUGCUACGGUGAAUACGUUCCCGGGCCUUGUACACACCGCCCGUCACACCAUGGGAGUGGGUUGCAAAAGAAGUAGGUAGCUUAACCUUCGGGAGGGCGCUUACCACUUUGUGAUUCAUGACUGGGGUGAAGUCGUAACAAGGUAACCGUAGGGGAACCUGCGGUUGGAUCACCUCCUU
rnacentral:rRNA from 1 species